AGCAGCCGCGGUAAUUCCAGCCCCAAUAGCGUAUAUUAAAGUUGUUGCAGUUAAAAGCCCGUAGUUGAACUUCAGGCCUGGCUGGAUGGUCUGCCUAACGGCAUUGUACUGUUCGGCUGGGUCUUACCUCUUGGUGAGCCAGCAUGCCCUUCACUGGGUGUGUUGGGGAACCAGGAC
rnacentral:misc_RNA from 1 species